rnacentral:rRNA from 1 species
GAUCAACGCUGGCGGCGUGCCUAAUACAUGCAAGUCGAGCGAACAGACGAGGAGCUUGCUCCUCUGACGUUAGCGGCGGACGGGUGAGUAACACGUGGAUAACCUACCUAUAAGACUGGGAUAACUUCGGGAAACCGGAGCUAAUACCGGAUAAUAUAUUGAACCGCAUGGUUCAAUAGUGAAAGACGGUUUUGCUGUCACUUAUAGAUGGAUCCGCGCCGCAUUAGCUAGUUGGUAAGGUAACGGCUUACCAAGGCGACGAUGCGUAGCCGACCUGAGAGGGGUGAUCGGCCCACCGGGAACGAGAACACGUCCCAGCCCCUAAGGGGAGGCAGCGGAAGGGAACUUGCCGAAAGGGGCGAAGCCCGAACGGGGCAACCCCGCUGGGUGGAAGAAGGCUUUCGGUUCGUAAAACUCUUUUUUUGGGGAAAAAAAAAUUGUAAAGUACCUAGCACCUUUUUAACGGUACCUAAUCAAAAAACCCCGGCAAAUUAGUU